AGAACCUUCAAUCUUCUUCAACUUGAAACCUAUAUACGUACAGAGAAGAUUGAAUGGCCCCUGCACAAGGAUGACACGCACAAAUCGAGAAAUGGCCCAAAUUUUU